GGCGUGAGCCACUGUCCCUGGCCCUCGGGGACCUUUUAAUUCCAACAAUCAGUAACUCAAAAAGAACAACCACAACCACAAAAGUAAACAAUAUAGAAGGUUAGAGGGAGGUAGAGUAGUUGGGAAAUGUCUAAAAGACAGUUAUAUCUGAGCAUGGACUUGGAGGAAUGGAGCAUCUGAGGUAACAGGGUCUCAUAGAGAGAGCACCUAAGACAAGGGAAUGAAAGCAGGAGGAUCCUGUCGUGUUUGGGGAAGUGCAACAAGGUUAGUAUGGCUGCAGCUGAAGAUAAACUGAAUCACAGAGAUAGAUGGACGUGAAUUCUGUAGUGUCCUGGAGGCCACAGUAAGGAGGUCAUAUUUUUAUUUUUAGUUUUGAGACAAAGUCUCACUCUUCCACCCAGGCUGGAGUGCAGUGACACCAUCAUGGCCCACUACAGCCUCGAACUCCCAGGCUUAAGCAAUUCUUCCACCUAAGCCUGCCAAGUAGCUGGGACCACAGGUGCAUGCCACCACAUCCAGCCAAUUUUUAAAAAUUUAUUCUUUUUAAAGAUGGGGUCUCACUAUAUUUCCCAGGCUGGUCUUGAACUCCUGGGCUCAAGCAGUCCUGCCUCAGCCUCCCAAAGUGCUGGGAUUACAGGCGCGAGCCACUGCGCCUGGCCCAAGGAUGUUGUAAUAGGCUCCCUGUGUAUUCUAGAAUAUACCUGGGAUUGUAUUUAGUCAGGCAGGGUGUGACAAUCAGAUACAGAAGUGAUUAUUAUGGAGGAAGUUUAUAGUAAGAGAUCCCUAGAAACAGGAGGCAGAGCACACCAUGCGGGUGGAAGCACCAGAGCAGGUUAGAAAGCAGCAGCAGAGGAGAAAGCAAGGGUUGUAGACUGGAUAUUUAUGGUUAUUCAUGUGGGUUCUGCAUUCCUACCUCAAUGACCCUUAACGAAAACUCUAGACGUCAAGGCUUGGGGGAGCUUCCCUGGCUGGCAAUACUGUGAAUGUGUUGCACACAACUUUGCUGGGAGAAUUCAGUGUGCCCUUGUGCAACUGCACUGGGAGGGAACACCUGCUAAGUUUGUGCCUGUGCUGGACACAGUGGCUUCCACCCGUAAUCCCAGCACUUUGGGAGGCCAAGGCGGGUGGAUCACUUGAAGUCAGGAGUUCCAGACUGGCCUGGCCAACAUGGUGUAACCCCAUCUCUGCUAAAAACACAAAAAUCAGCCAGUGUGGUGGCACAU
rnacentral:lncRNA from 10 species